rnacentral:rRNA from 1 species
CACGUAGGAGGCGAGCGUUGUCCGGAAUCAUUGGGCGUAAAGAGCGCGCAGGCGGCUUGGCAAGUCGGGUGUGAAAUCCCGGGGCUCAACCCCGUGACUGCAUCCGAUACUGUCAGGCUAGAGGUAGGUAGGGGAGAUCGGAAUUCCUGGUGUAGCGGUGAAAUGCGCAGAUAUCAGGAGGAACACCGGUGGCGAAGGCGGAUCUCUGGGCCUUACCUGACGCUCAGGCGCGAAAGCCAGGGGAGCAAACGGG